GUCGAAUGGUAAUGCAGCCGACUGCAGGUGUCAGGUUGGCGGUUCGAAUCCUGGUC
rnacentral:tRNA from 1 species